AAGUCGUAACAAGGUUUCCGUAGGUAAACCUGCGGAAGGAUCAUUACCGAGUUAUUGGUCGCUAUUUCUAUAGCACCAACUCCCACCCUUGUGUUUACUAUAAUUUAUGUCUUUGGCAAAGCGUUUGUGCUUAUUGCCUAAACCAUUGAUAGGGAUAACCUAUGAAUGUGUCUUUGCCAAAGUAUCUCUCUACUCUUAUUUUUAAUGAUUGUCUGAGUUACAAAAUAAAAUCGAAUCAAAA
rnacentral:misc_RNA from 1 species